UGCUGGGGACAGGGUGAUCCUCCUCCAGCCCCCCUCCUCUGUUUUUUCCAUGCAGAUAAAGAUGUGGGCCUCGAGGAUUGUCCAAUCCCACCACGGACUGUGGCUUCUCCGUGCCGUGCCAUGUCUUUGGCCCCGUGGUUCCACGGCGCUCAUCUGCAACAGGCUUUUUCUCUGCAAAAAGGCUGCUCAUGGUCCUGAUGACGUGGAUAUGCAAUCACUGACCCUCCAAAACCCCAGGGAGAACCAUUUCUAGGAGGUCCUGAGCUAAACACAGGCUCUCUACGACUGCAGCCUUGCUGGUGGCCGGCAGAGUCCCCCAGAGGAGACGACAGAGCUGAUACUGCAGAACUAACUGACAUUAAACUGGCAGAAUCCCAGUGCAAAGGUGAACUCGAGGAAAAAAUUAUAUUGGAUUUUAAUAAAACUUUCCUCAAAGGUCAACCUCUCUAAGGUAUGAAAUCAAUCUUCCCUCCUCCUUCUUCAGCCCAUUUAUUCACAGCUAUAGAAAAUUCUGAUACUCAUAAAAUGUUUCCCAUUCCCUCCCCCUCCUAUUACAAUAUCUAUCUACCUGUGACCACUAUUUUUCACAGCAAUUUUAGAUCCCUUCCUCCUCUUUUCACUCUUUUUACCUGGCCUUCUUGGAAUCUGCAGCCGCUUCUCAAAAUGUCACUUAUCAGGCUCCCUUUCAAGAACAGAUCCUGCCUCAUACCAUCUUCAGUACAACCCCCCCCCCCAUUUUUUUUUUAAGGCUUGUAGUAUGAAUACAUUCAGGCUUGGUUAGAUAAAUACAACAUGCAUCAUUUUUUUCAUUUGCCAACCAAGCACAAAAUUAUUUUAUACUGACUGUACAUUACAAAAAUAUACUCUCAAAAUAUGGCCUCUUACAGUAUUUAAGAUAUAGCAAGGACGUGGCUAAUUUUUUUCAUGUGUAUAUAUAUAUAUGUACACAGACAUAUAUAUAUAUAUGUUUAAAAAAUUGGCACUAAUAGGUGGGUUUAUUGGUCUUUUUCUAAUUGUAUAAUUUAAUUUAGUACAAAGUUUGUAAAAUAUCAGAGUAUAUAUAUUGUUUCUACAACAUGGUAUUGCAUUUAUAUCUUUUUACUACAGUGAUCUGUGACAGCUGCAGCAGCUUCAUGUUGUAUUUUUUUUACUGAAAUUGUAAGAUAUCCAUCUUAAAGACAUCAAUUCUAAAAAAAAGUUAAAAAGUUGUGUACAGAAUAUUCCUUAGUGGUGGAAUUAAAAUGUACGAAAUAUUUGCUUUUUUCAAAAGAAACACAAAUUGUAUUUUCUGUUAAAAGUUUAAAGAUUUUUGCUAUAUAUUAUGGAAGAAAAUGUAAUCGUAAAUAUUAAUUUUGUACCUACAUUGUGCAAUACUUGAAAAAAGGUAUAAAAGUAUUUUGAGUCAGUGUCUUACAUGUUAAGAGGGACUGAAAUAGUUUAUAUUAAGUUUGUAUUAAAAUUCUUUAAAAUUACUUGGCUGUGGUGGUGUGUGUUUUUCCUGUCCUGCUGAGCAUCCAAGCACUGCUGUUCCUUGUGCUGAGGAUGCACCAAAGUCUGACUCAGAGGAGCAGUGGAAGGGUGGCUGCAUUGCUGCACCACAUGGGGCUCUUUACCCAAAACACCACUGACAGAGCACAGAACCCAAUUAAGGACUUGCCUUCAAUUAUCUGAGCAAAAUUCCACUUGUUUUCCGUAACUGCUGCUCAGUGAAGCCAGAAGGGAAUUCCGUUCUUUUUCCUUGAUAAUUAAGACUAUAAGCUCUGUGAACGUGGAGUUAUGGGGUGAGGGUGUGCCUAGCAGGGACUCAGGUGAUUCAAUGAAAUUCCCUUUCCAUGUCACUGGGAUUAUUUGAACUAUUAUCUCGGGAGGUCCUAGACCAGCACAUCAGCGUUCUGCCUCUGUAUUAGGGAUUAAUAGCUCAGAAACAAAACUGAAUAAAAGUGCUGAUUUACAGCUUUCUAAACUCA
rnacentral:lncRNA from 1 species